rnacentral:rRNA from 1 species
UACGUAGGGUGCGAGCGUUGUCCGGAAUUACUGGGCGUAAAGAGCUCGUAGGUGGUUUGUCGCGUUGUUCGUGAAAUGCCACAACUCAAUUGUGGGCGUGCGGGCGAUACGGGCAGACUGGAGUACUGCAGGGGAGACUGGAAUUCCUGGUGUAGCGGUAGAAUGCGCAGAUAUCAGGAGGAACACCGGUGGCGAAGGCGGGUCUCUGGGCAGUAACUGACGCUGAGGAGCGAAAGCGUGGGGAGCGAACAGGAUUAGACUACCCCGG